UGAGUGUGUGUAUUCCAGGUUCAAGUCACCAUAGAUAUCUCUUUAUAACAAACAAAAAAGAUAAAAAAAAAAAGAGCAUUCAGAGUCUAAGAAAAGAAACAUAAUUUGAUGGAAAGUGUCAUUCUCUUGUGUAUUAAAUUAUUAAUUCAUAUCCUGUUUUAAUGGAAAUCUUUGGUUCAGUCAAAGGUCAAGGUUUGGGUGGUUAACAACCUUAAAUAAAUUGAACACACAAGAGAAGUUAUGGCAGUGCAAGCCAUUUCCACUGAUUUCUCUUGGUGUUUUUUAAUACAAAAAGAACUCAGUCUAGUGAUCAUGGCAAACUAAUAGUUGGAGAUGUGUAAUGCUUGUUAUUGUAACCAGAUGUGUGUGUGUGUGAUAUCUAAUAACUCCCUCAAAACUAGCAUUGCGAACUUGUGUUGAAACUCACUGUGUUCAGUAAUUUGAAUUAGUUUUAGACAUCUGUUUCAUUGCAGUUGCAAAUCUGUAGUAGAUUAGAAUUACCAUUACUAUUUACUUUACACGUUUGGCUGCUAACCUGCUUUUGUUAUCUGUGAUUGUAGUGUGGGAUCAUUCAGUUCACUUGUUUGUAAAGGCAAAGAGUGGAAGAUUAUUCUAAAAGAAUGGUUAAAUCUGUUGAAAUUGAUGCAGAACCUUAAAUCCUUUUAUCGGAAUCAAUUCCUUAAAGAUGUGCUGGAAAAUAGGCUUUUGGAUGCAAAUGAUCCUGAGAUACGAACAGCUGUUCUUGAAUGACUGUUGAUCUGGAAAGAUGAUUUUCUGCUAUCAUAUGAUCAGCACCUGAAAAAUUUGCUCAACUUUACUAGUUUCAGAGAGGAACUAACCACAUGGAGUUUAUCCAGAGAAUCUAAACUUAUUGAAGAGCCCCACAGACCUUACCUUGUACCUAUAGUUAUACGUCUUCUGAUGCCAAAAGUCAGGAAGUUGAAGAGGAAUGCCUCACGAAAGCAUGCAAGUGUAAAUUACCGAAAGGCGGUUCUUGGUUUCUUAGCGCAACUUGAUGUUGAUGAGCUUCCCUUUUUCUAUGCAUUGUUAAUGAAGCCUUUGCAAGUUGUGCAAGUGGGAAGUGAUGGUACAUCUGACUGGUUUUGGACUUCGACCGGAAGCUCAAAAGAUAGGUUUAUUAGACUAUUGUGUCCCACAUGAAAUAAGUGUAAGAAUAUUGAACUAUUAAUAAGAACAUGUUUAACUCCACUAAU